UACGGAGGGGGCUAGCGUUGUUCGGAAUUACUGGGCGUAAAGCGCACGUAGGCGGCUUUUGUAAAGUUAGAGGUGAAAAGCCCCGGGGCUCAACUCCGGAAUUGCCUUUAAGACUGCAUCGCUAGAAUUGUGGAGAGGUAAGUGGAAUUCCGAGUGUAGAGGUGAAAUUCGUAGAUAUUCGGAAGAACACCAGUGGCGAAGGCGACUUACUGGACACAUAUUGACGCUGAGGCACGAAAGCGUGGGGAGCAAACAGGA
rnacentral:rRNA from 1 species